AUUGAACGCUGGCGGCAUGCCUUACACAUGCAAGUCGAACGGCAGCACGGGGCAACCUGGUGGCGAGUGGCGAACGGGUGAGUAAUGCAUCGGAACGUACCUUUCAGUGGGGGAUAACGUAGCGAAAGUUACGCUAAUACCGCAUAUUCUGUGAGCAGGAAAGCAGGGGAUCGCAAGACCUUGCGCUGAUUGAGCGGCCGAUGUCAGAUUAGCUAGUUGGUGAGGUAAAGGCUCACCAAGGCGACGAUCUGUAGCGGGUCUGAGGGGAUGAUCCGCCACACUGGAACUGAGACACGGUCCAGAAUCCUACGGGGGGCAGCAGUGGGGAAUUUUGGACAAUGGGGGCAACCCUGAUCCAGCCAUGCCGCGUGAGUGAAUAAGGCCUUCGGGUUGUAAAGCUCUUUCGGCCGGGAAGAAAUCGCACGGGCUAAUACCCUGUGUGGAUGACGGUACCGGAAUAAGAAGCACCGGCUAACUACGUGCCAGCCGCCGCGGUAACAC
rnacentral:rRNA from 1 species